GGUAGGGGAGCGUCGUGCAUGAGGUGAAGCAUGAGUGUGAACACGUGUGGAUUGUGUGCGAGUGAGAAUGCAGGCAUGAGUAACGAAUUGAUAGGUGAGAAUCCUAUCCGCCGGAUGACUAAGGGUUCCUGGGUCAAGUUCGUCUUCCCAGGGUGAGUCGGGACCUAAGGCGAGGCCGACAGGCGUAGUCGAUGGAUAACCAGUUGAUAUUCUGGUACCCGAGUGUGUGCGUCAAUGGUAAAGCAGUGAUACUAACCAUGUUCGAGACUUAUUGAUUAUGCCCUUUUUGGGU
rnacentral:rRNA from 1 species